UACGGAGGGUGCAAGCGUUAUCCGGAUUCACUGGGUUUAAAGGGUGCGUAGGUGGGUUGGUAAGUCAGUGGUGAAAUCUCCGAGCUUAACUUGGAAACUGCCAUUGAUACUAUCAGUCUUGAAUGUUGUGGAGGUGAGCGGAAUAUGUCAUGUAGCGGUGAAAUGCUUAGAUAUGACAUAGAACAUCUAUUGCGAAGGCAGCUCACUACGCAAAUAUUGACACUGAGGCACGAAAGCGUGGGGAUCAAACAGG
rnacentral:rRNA from 1 species